rnacentral:rRNA from 1 species
UCAAGCGACUAAGUGCAUAUGGUGGAUGCCUUGGCGAUCACAGGCGAUGAAGGACGUAGUAGCCUGCGAAAAGCUGCGGGGAGCUGGCAAACAAGCUUUGAUCCGCAGAUAUCCGAAUGGGGAAACCCACUGCAGCAAUGCAGUAUCCCUAGCUGAAUACAUAGGCUAGUGGAAGCGAACCGGGUGAACUGAAACAUCUCAGUAGCUCGAGGAAAAGAAAUCAACCGAGAUUCCGAAAGUAGUGGCGAGCGAAAUCGGAUGAGCCUUUACGUUUUAGCACGCAGGAUAGUCGAACGGAAUGGAAAGUCCGGCCGUAGCAGGUGAUAGCCCUGUAGACGAAAUUCUGUGUGUGGAACUAAGCGUAAGACAAGUAGGGCGGGACACGUGAAAUCCUGUUUGAAGAUGGGGGGACCAUCCUCCAAGGCUAAAUACUCGUGAUCGACCGAUAGUGAACCAGUACCGUGAGGGAAAGGCGAAAAGAACCCCGGAAGGGGAGUGAAAUAGAUCCUGAAACCGUAUGCAUACAAACAGUAGGAGCCUCCUUGUGGGGUGACUGCGUACCUUUUGUAUAAUGGGUCAGCGACUUACAUUCAGUGGCAAGGUUAACCGAAUAGGGAAGCCGUAGCGAAAGCGAGUCCGAAUAGGGCGAUUCAGUCGCUGGGUGUAGACCCGAAACCAGAUGAUCUAUCCAUGGCCAGGUUGAAGGCACGGUAACACGUGCUGGAGGACCGAACCCACUAAUGUUGAAAAAUUAGGGGAUGAGCUGUGGAUAGGGGUGAAAGGCUAAACAAAUCUGGAAAUAGCUGGUUCUCUCCGAAAACUAUUUAGGUAGUGCCUCAAGUAUUACUGCGGGGGGUAGAGCACUGUUAUAGCUAGGGGGUCAUGGCGACUUACCAAACUAUGGCAAACUCCGAAUACCCGCAAGUACAGCUUGGGAGACAGAGCACCGGGUGCUAACGUCCGGACUCAAGAGGGAAACAACCCAGACCGCCAGCUAAGGUCCCGAAUUAUCGCUAAGUGGGAAACGAAGUGGGAAGGCAUAGACAGUCAGGAGGUUGGCUUAGAAGCAGCCAUCCUUUAAAGAAAGCGUAAUAGCUCACUGAUCGAGUCGUCCUGCGCGGAAGAUGUAACGGGGCUAAGCGAUAAACCGAAGCUGCGGGUGUGCACUUUUAGUGCACGCGGUAGGAGAGCGUUCUGUAAGCCUGCGAAGGUGGCUUGUAAAGGCUGCUGGAGGUAUCAGAAGUGCGAAUGCUGACAUGAGUAGCGAUAAAGGGGGUGAAAAGCCCCCUCGCCGUAAGUCCAAGGUUUCCUGCGCAACGUUCAUCGGCGCAGGGUGAGUCGGCCCCUAAGGCGAGGCAGAGAUGCGUAGCUGAUGGGAAGCUGGUUAAUAUUCCAGCACCGUCGUACAGUGCGAUGGGGGGACGGAUCGCGGAAAAUCAUCAGGGUGUUGGAUGUCCCUGUUGCUGCAUCGAAGAUGGCGCUUAGGCAAAUCCGGGCGCGUAAAUCAAGGGUGUGGCACGAGCGAGCAUUGCUUGCGAAGUGAUCGGAAGUGGUUCCAAGAAAAGCCUCUAAGCUUCAGCUGUACGAGACCGUACCGCAAACCGACACAGGUGGACGGGAUGAAUAUUCCAAGGCGCUUGAGAGAACUCAGGAGAAGGAACUCGGCAAAUUGAUACCGUAACUUCGGGAGAAGGUAUACCCCGGUAGUGUGAAGCGCCUGCGCGCUUAGCAUGAUGGGGUCGCAGAGAAUCGGUGGCUGCGACUGUUUAUUAAAAACACAGCACUCUGCAAAGACGAAAGUCGACGUAUAGGGUGUGACGCCUGCCCGGUGCCGGAAGGUUAAGUGAUGGGGUGCAAGCUCUUGAUCGAAGCCCCGGUAAACGGCGGCCGUAACUAUAACGGUCCUAAGGUAGCGAAAUUCCUUGUCGGGUAAGUUCCGACCUGCACGAAUGGCGUAACGAUGGCCACAC